GUCAAUAUGUCCGAGUGUUAAGGAGAUAGACUUGAAAUUUAUUGGGCUUUGCCUGCGAGGUUCGAAGGAGAUAGACUUGAAAUUUAUUGGGCUUUGCCUGCGCAGGUUCGAAUGCUGCUGUUGACG
rnacentral:tRNA from 1 species